CUCGUCAAUCGUCAAGUUCUUGCCGGUAAAAACGACGAUCGGCACGGUUGCCAACGCUGGAUCGGCAUGCAGCUUCUUUAGCAGCUCAAAGCCGGUCAUGUCGGGUAGUCGCAGAUCGAGCACGACGCAAUCGAAGUGCUGCUCCCGCAUGGCUUGUAGCGCCGUUUCUCCACUCGGCGCGGUUACAAGCUCGAUGUCGUUAUAACCCAGCAGUUCUACAAUGGACUGCCGUUCGAUAUCGUUGUCUUCA
rnacentral:misc_RNA from 1 species